UUCAAUAUGGUUGAUGCCUUUAAGUAAUAACAUUGAGAUUUGAUUUUCCAAAUUGUUGCCUGGUGGGCGGACAGUUCCCAGAACAGUUAAGAGAGUGUUUAUAAAAAUGGCAACUUGACUUUUAAUCUAUUUCUGGUAUCACAUGAUCAGACAACAAGAAUCUUUGUUACCUUUUUUAUUGACAGGGUGUUUUGAUUAAUAUGGUAAAUUUUAUUUUGAUUGUGUACUUGAAAGGGCCUUAUAAUAUGGACUAGCAAG
rnacentral:misc_RNA from 1 species